ACAAGACUAUUGCUCUGUUCCAUUACGCUGCGUUGGCACAUUUUUGUGGUUUUUGUUUUUGCAGGUGAUGCAUUCGACAGCAUUACAGGGUACAAGAUAUGGUUAUGUCCUUUGGCACACGUGAAUAUCCAAUAACGCUUCCUGUAUAUAGAUUGCUAAUACCUGCUUUUUGUAUUUUAAUCUGUACAUAACAAAUAAACGGUUAGUCAUGUCUCAAGGCUCGGGCAUUCCUGUCCAUUUUCGUCUAGAUGUGAGCCCUUGUAAGGGGUUCACAGUCGGUUGCAGUUGGGUCUAAGUGACCCUUUUAUUAGCUUAUUGUGCUAUCAGUUGUCUAUGGACACGCGUGGCAUGGUCUGUUCUCAUAUAUGCGGUUCCCACACCUUUAGCAGCGCUAUGGGAGAUAAGUAUAUAGGGUGUCCAUUAGUGGAGUUAGCGUGUGCUUUCGAGGGUAGGUUAUGUUAUGUCCCUAACCCUAGGGGACGUCUGGGGGGGAGGGGGGUGAGUGUAGUCUAGUCGGUGGCUAGCAGUCGUUAGGCAGGUCCUCUCUAGGAGAGCAACUAUCUAGGUGCACAGAUAUCUCUGGGGCUUCAGUCCGAUCAUUAUGUGAACUUUUUCAGUUACCGGGUGGAAACAAUAUUGAAAGCAUAAUAUAAAAUACGAAACAAUAAAACCAUAGUGUUGCAACUUAAGAGAAG